rfam:Vigna angularis cultivar Jingnong 6 chromosome 10, whole genome shotgun sequence.
GGCUCAGUGAUUUUUUUGCUUUGCAGUAUACGCUAUUCCGAUUUAUUACGUGAGCGGAAAUUUAAUCGUGUAUGAGAGCC